AUACGGAGGAUCCGAGCGUUAUCCGGAUUUAUUGGGUUUAAAGGGUGCGCAGGCGGCCAUUUAAGUCAGCGGUUAAAUCGUGGGGCUCAACCCCAUUCUGCCGUUGAUACUGGGUGGCUUGGUUGCGGUCGAGGUUGGCGGAAUUCGUUGUGUAGCGGUGAAAUGCAUAGAUAUGACGAAGAACACCGAUUGCGUAGGCAGCUGACCAGACCGCAAAUGACGCUCAUGCACGAAAGUGCGGGGAUCGAACAGGAUUAGAUACCCUGGUAGUCCGCACAGUAAACGAUGAAUACUUGUUUUCGGCGAUAUAAUGUCGGAGGCAAAGCGAAAGCGAUAAGUAUUCCACCUGGGGAGUACGCCGGCAACGGUGAAACUCAAAUGAAUUGACGGGG
rnacentral:rRNA from 1 species